CGUGCUUAACACAUGCAAGUCGAACGAGGGAAUUGAAAGCUUGCUUUUGAAACCCGAGUGGCAAACGGGUGAGUAACGCGUGAGGAACCUGCCUUUCAGAGGGGGACAACAGUUGGAAACGACUGCUAAUACCGCAUGACACAUCGGAGUCGCAUGGCUCUGAUGUCAAAGAUUUAUCGCUGAAAGAUGGCCUCGCGUCUGAUUAGCUAGUUGGUGAGGUAACGGCCCACCAAGGCGACGAUCAGUAGCCGGACUGAGAGGUUGAACGGCCACAUUGGGACUGAGACACGGCCCAGACUCCUACGGGAGGCAGCAGUGGGGAAUAUUGCACAAUGGGCGAAAGCCUGAUGCAGCAACGCCGCGUGAGGGAAGACGGUUUUCGGAUUGUAAACCUCUGUUUCGGUGACGAACAAAUGACGGUAACCGAGUAGGAAGCCACGGCUAACUACGUG
rnacentral:rRNA from 1 species